AACGAACGCUGGCGGCAUGCCUAACACAUGCAAGUCGAACGACACCUUCGGGUCUAGUUGCUCAUGGGUGCGUAACGCGUGGGAACCUGCCCUUAGGUUCGGAAUAACUCCCCGACGUGGGUGCUAAUACCGGGUAAUUUCUUCUAACCAAAGAUUUAUCGCCUUUGUAUGGGCCCGCGUUGGAUUAGCUAGUUGGUAUGGUAAAAGCCUACCAAGGCGACGAUCCAUAGCUGGUCUGAGAGGAUGAUCAGCCACACUGGGACUGAGAAACGGCCCAGACUCCUACGGGAGGCAGCAGUGGGGAAUAUUGGACAAUGGGCGAAAGCCUGAUCCAGCAAUGCUGCGUGAGUGAUGAAGGCCUUAGGGUUGUAAAGCUCUUUUACCCGGGAUGAUAAUGACAGUACCGGGAGAAUAAGCUCCGGCUAACUCCGUG
rnacentral:rRNA from 1 species